rnacentral:rRNA from 1 species
UACGUAGGGACCGAGCGUUGUCCGGAAUCAUUGGGCGUAAAGAGCGUGUAGGCGGCUAUUUAAGUCCUGCGUGAAAUCCUGCGGCUCAACCGCAGACGGUCGUGGGAAACUGGAUGGCUAGAGUGCGGGAGAGGAGAGUGGAAUUCCCGGUGUAGCGGUGAAAUGCGCAGAUAUCGGGAAGAACACCCGUGGCGAAGGCGGCUCUCUGGACCGUAACUGACGCUGAGACACGAAAGCGUGGGUAGCAAACAGG